rnacentral:misc_RNA from 1 species
UUUCCGUAGGUGAACCUGCGGAAGGAUCAUUACUGAGUGAGGGCCCCUCGGGGUCCAACCUCCCACCCGUGUUUAACGAACCUUGUUGCUUCGGCGGGCCCGCCUCACGGCCGCCGGGGGGCAUCUGCCCCCGGGCCCGCGCCCGCCGAUGCCACCUGUGAACGCUGUCUGAAGUAUGCAGUCUGAGACAAUUAUUAAAUUAAUUAAAACUUUCAACAACGGAUCUCUUGGUUCCG